rnacentral:rRNA from 1 species
AUUUGUCUGGUUAAUUCCGAUAACGAACGAGACCUUAACCUGCUAACUAGAUUCUAUUCAUCUUAUGAUUGUUAUCUUCUUAGAGGGACUAUGUAAAACAAAUACAUGGAAGUUUGAGGCAAUAACAGGUCAGUGAUGCCCUUAUAUGUCCUGGGCUGCACGCGUGCUACACUGAUGCAUACAACAAGUGCCUAACCAGACAUGGUAUGGCAAUCUCGAAUAUGCAUCGUGAUAGGGAUAGAUCUUUGCAAUUAUAGAUCUUGAACGAGGAAUUCCUAGUAAGUGCAAGUCAUCAUCUUGCAUUGACUAUGUCCCUGCCCUUUGUACACACCGCCCGUCGCUCCUACCGAUACCGGGUGAUCCGGUGAACCUUUUGGACCUGUAUGGGGAAGAUAAGUAAACCAUAUCACCUAGAGGAAGGAGAAGUCGUAACAAGGUUUCCGUAGGUGAACCUGCRGAAGGAUCA